AGUGAAUGCUGGCGGUAGGCCUAACACAUGCAAGUCGAACGGCAGCACAGAGGAGCUUGCUCCUUGGGUGGCGAGUGGCGGACGGGUGAGGAAUACAUCGGAAUCUACUCUGUCGUGGGGGAUAACGUAGGGAAACUUACGCUAAUACCGCAUACGACCUACGGGUGAAAGCAGGGGAUCUUCGGACCUUGCGCGAUUGAAUGAGCCGAUGUCGGAUUAGCUAGUUGGCGGGGUAAAGGCCCACCAAGGCGACGAUCCGUAGCUGGUCUGAGAGGAUGAUCAGCCACACUGGAACUGAGACACGGUCCAGACUCCUACGGGAGGCAGCAGUGGGGAAUAUUGGACAAUGGGCGCAAGCCUGAUCCAGCCAUAGCGCGCGGGUGAAGAAGGCCUUCGGGUUGUAAAGCCCUUUUGUUGGGAAAGAAAUCCAUCUGGUUAAUACCCGGGUGGGAUGACGGUACCCAAAGAAUAAGCACCGGCUAACUUCGUGCCAGCAGCCGCCGUAA
rnacentral:rRNA from 1 species